GGGGCUGUGGCGAAAUUGGCAUACGCAGCAGACUUAAAAUCUGCCUCCUUAACAGGAUUGUGGGUUCAAGUCCCUCCAGCCCCA
rnacentral:tRNA from 1 species